GAUGAACGCUGGCGGCGUGCCUAAUACAUGCAAGUCGAGCGAACAGACGAGGAGCUUGCUCCUUUGACGUUAGCGGCGGACGGGUGAGUAACACGUAGGUAACCUACCUAUAAGACUGGGAUAACUUCGGGAAACCGGAGCUAAUACCGGAUAAUAUUUCGAACCGCAUGGUUCGAUAGUGAAAGAUGGCUUUGCUAUCACUUAUAGAUGGACCUGCGCCGGAUUAGCUAGUUGGUAAGGUAACGGCUUACCAAGGCAACGAUACGUAGCCGACCUGAGAGGGUGAUCGGCCACACUGGAACUGAGACACGGUCCAGACUCCUACGGGAGGCAGCAGUAGGGAAUCUUCCGCAAUGGGCGAAAGCCUGACGGAGCAACGCCGCGUGAGUGAUGAAGGUCUUCGGAUCGUAAAACUCUGUUAUUAGGGAAGAACAAACGUGUAAGUAACUGUGCACGUCUUGACGGUACCUAAUCAGAAAGCCACGGCUAACUACGUG
rnacentral:rRNA from 1 species